GCGGGUGUAACUCAAUGGUAGAGUGUCAGCUUCCCAAGCUGAAAGUUGCGAGUUCGAGCCUCGUAGCCCGUU
rnacentral:tRNA from 1 species